UGUAUUUAUAAAAUUAUAUUUUGUCAUUAAUGUUUAAAUAAAUACUUUUGUAUUUUUAUCAUUUGGUAUUGCCUUAAGUUGUCCAAGUAGUUAAAAAUUUAAUUUUUCUUAAUAAAAGCUGUAU